rnacentral:lncRNA from 1 species
UUUUUUUUUUUUGCUUUACUGGUGCUAAACACAAAUUCUGAAGAAGACCCUUUUGGAUUUAGAGGCUAAAGCUCAGUUCUUUAAGCUAUUUCUUGGUAUAUUAAGAAAAAAGAUUGGAUUUUUUUGAUUUAUUGGUGUUUGGGUUGUGGUGGAUUGUUCUGAUUUUAACCUUUGUUUUGGUUGGUGAAUUUCCUUAUCCGGGGUUUUCUUGAUUGUUUUUUAUUGUGUUGGAUUCUGGUGCAAAGACUCAAUUUUUUUAACAGUUUCUACUGUUUUUUUCCUUCCUCAAACAGUCUAUCUACCAUCCCAAGAUAGGAGUAAGGUCUGCACUAUCAUCUCUAAACCCCAUUUUUGGGACUCCACCGGGUCUAUUGUUGUUGUGGCAAUUUACGAUCGGUCCAGGUAUAACUUAAUGCGAAUUAAUUAUCAAAUCCAUAUGUAUAAAUUCAACCCAUGCAUAUCAUUGAACCCGAAUUUAAAAUUAGCCUUUCACCUCGAUUCUUUUCUUCUUCCUCAUACAAUGCCCUUCCCUAUACAAUACCCUUCCAUGAACCUAACAACUUUUCUCAACAAGAAAUUUGACAACCAAGAAACACGAAUUGACAUUGCACCUUCUUAUUAGUCUCAUACCUGCUAAUAUAACAAAAUAUUAAGAAACCAGGCAGGCACUUUUUUCAAUCCUUUGUCCGUUUGUUUCUUUAUGCAACAAAACCACAAGUAUUUGCAGAGAAUUCUUUUAAAAUAUAAAAUUUAUUCUAUUGGGUUUGUAUGUCACGCCCCGAAAUUAGGAUGAGGCGUGAUGACAAUCAACCUAUCUUACUUGUCGAACAAAACUUGUUCUAACUAUCGAAAAUUCUAUAUAGAACAUCAUACCCAAGAGACUCAUAAAUAAAUCUUAAGAUAAUAGAUGUUUGAAAGCUAAAUGAUAACUUAAACACUAACAUGUCUGACAACUGAGUCCACUAACAAAGUAUCUAAAGAAUCUGGAGUCCAUUGCAUUUGGCACCCCUAAUGUCUAUCUUUUUUUUGUGAUUUGCAACCUGUCAUGUUUUGUUUUACGAUUUUAAUCCUAAGCUCUUUAUUCACUUGCAAAACAAUAAAAUCAUCAUUUAUAUAAAUUUUUCAUGAGGGCAACAUAGAAAAUACAAAUAAAAUAUCUUCUUUUUUUUUAAGUUAUUUUUUUAUGGUGGGACGUUAAUCCUAGUGAAACUCUUGCCGCCAUCAUCAUUGCAUCGUGGGAGACAUGGUUAAGCUCUCCAAGCAUAAAACGCGCUAAAGGCAGCGUCAAUUUUACCGAGAAUAAAUAGCACAUCCAGUAUAUCAUCAAUGGAUAAGAGCAAGGAGAAACGGAAAAGUCGAUUGAAGAAGGAGAAAUUGAAAGGUAAUAAGUUCAGAGUAAACAAAUUCCAUUCGUAUGCUCUUUAAUUCGUCGAUGGGUAUUGAAUUGCCAAAAGCUUAUUGUUUGCAAUGCGUAAGAUGCAAUCCAUCAUUAACAUGUUCUUGUCCCAUCCUCUAUCUGCUAUUGAUUUUCUUUUUUUAAAAAAAUAAAUCACAAAACUCUAACUCACUACAACAAUGCACCAGAAAGAAAGGUUUGCAAAUCUAUCAAAAUUUCAAACAACUCUGAAUACUAUCAUGUACAUCAAUAAAGAAAGAUCAAUUCAUUUAAGUUCUUGCUCUACUUUGGAUAAAACAGGCCUUGUGUCAAUUUAGCUUUUUUGUUGGCCGUAGUUGUUUACUUUUAUUGAAUAUUCUGAUACCAAAAGUAGUUCUUCAAUAUGUAUUUUUUUUUAUCUAAUCUAGAAAUUGAGCUAGCUAAAAUAAUUUUAAACCUUGCAUGAGCUUUUUACAUUGAAGAUUCACCAUGGAGGUGAAUUCUUAGAUGUACAUUUGGGAGGCAAGAUAGAUUUUAUUGAUAAGUGUGAUCCACAUAAAUGGUCAUUGCAAACCUUGGAAUGGAUUGGAACAACGAGAUUAAGAUACAGCAGUAAGAAAAGAGGAUAAAAAGAAAAAUCUAGCAGGAAAUGGCGAAGUUAGUGUAAAGGGGAGGAAAGAGGGGAAGGAAAAAAAGAAAGAUAAAGUGAUGGAGAAAGCCAAGAGUGCCAAUUUUGCCGGGUUACUACUGGAGGACUCAAGUACAGAAUCUGAGAAUGAUAACAUCUCUCCUAAGUAUGAUUCAGAUGACAUGUGCAGUAUUAAUAGCGAUGAUGAUGAAAAGGUUAGAAAGGUUGAAAAUGUUGCAUUUAGGGCAGAAACAGACAUGGAUAAUUUAACAUUUAGGUUGGGAAAGACAUUCAUUGAUGCAAUAGAAUUUAGAGCUGCACUGAGAGCUUAUUCUAUUAAAAAUAACAAGAAAAUUUCCUUCAAAAAGAAUGAAUCUGAUAAAAUUUCUGCAAAAUGUUGUGAUCAAUGUCCACGGCGCAUAUAUGCAUCUAAAAAGGCACCAGAUGACCCCACAAUCACGAUAAAAACUUUAGUUGGGAAACAUUCUGAUGAUUGUUUGUUUGUUUAUGUCAACAAAAAUGUGAAAUCUCGAAUGAUUGCCAAAUAUUUCCUGCAUUAUUUGAGAAUACAUCCAGAUGUAUCAGUAGGAGAUUUCAUGGACAAAAUACAUGAAGAGAUGAAUGUUGAAGUUUCAGUGAGCAAAGUGUAUAGAUGUGAUGACCCAAAAGGUCAUCUUAUGUUUUAAAACUCGAAUCUGCGCUCUUAAGCCUUAAAAAUCUCAUUUUUUUUCCCUCCUCGAUUUGUGUGCACAGUUCGGACAGGUUUCCGAAAAGCUUUUAUGUUGAAAAUUGAUGAAAAUAAGAAUUUAUGCCUUAAAAGUUAAUUUUAGUUUACUUCGGUCAAUAUUUUUAGUAAACGGGCCCGGAUCCGUAUUUUGAUGAUCCCGGUGGGUCCGUAUCAAAUUAUGGGACCUGGACGUAUGCCCGGAAUCGAAUUUGGAGGUCCCUAUCUCAAGUUAUGAAUUUUUGAUGAAAAUUAAAAAUCUGAAAAAUUAAUUAUUUUUAAGAAUUGAUUGAUGUUGGGCAUUGUUAGUGCCGGGUCCGUAUUCUGGUUCCGGAGCCCGGUACAGGUUUAUUAUGAUAUUUAAGACUUGUCUGUGAAAUUUGGUGAGAAACGGAGUUGAUUUGACGUGAUUCGAACGUCCAGUUGAGAAAAUAGAAAUUUUAAAGUGUUCUUGAAAAUUUCAUUUGAUUUGGUGCUAAAUUCGUAGUUCUAGGUGUUAUUUUGGCGAUUUGAUCGCGCGAGCAAGUUCGUAUGAUAUUUUUAGACUUGUGGACAUGUUUGGUUUGGAGCACCGAGAGCUCGGGGUGAGUUUCGGAUAGGCCACGGGAUAUUUUGGACUUUGGAAAUCUGGUAUUUUGCUGCAGCAAGUGUUCUGGCAUGUCCUUCUUCGCGUUCACGAAGGUACUCUCGCGAACGCGAAGAGUAAACUGGGCAGCUGAAGGUUUCUUCUUCGCGAACGCGAAGCGAUGAGGGCGUUACCCUUCGCGAACGCGACAAGCCCAUCGCGAACGCGUAGUGUUAGGCAUUGGGGAUGGGGAGUCAGCCGUUCCUUCAUCGCGAACGCGAAGGCCAGGGGGGAGUAACCAUCGCGAACACGAGCUGGGUCUCGCGAACGCGUAGACUUGGCAGCCAGUACCCUUCGCGAACGCGAUGAAUACUGUCGCCCAGCACUUAACAGAAUCCAAAAACGGAAUUUUAGCCAAAAACUCAUUUUUCUCAAAAAACAAGCGGUGAGAGGCAGUUUUUCAAGAGCUAUUUCUUCCCUAAAUUGUUGAUAAGUGAUUCUAAACCAUUUUCUUUCAAUUACCCAUUACAUUUUNNNNNNNNNNNNNNNNNNNNNNNNNGAGGUCGGAUUCCAAAACCAAUUAUAUAUUCGGGAUCGGGGAUGAAUGGGUAAGUAGAUUUUGGUCCGAACCUCGGGUUUUGAUCAAGCGGGUCCGGGGUCGAUUUUUCGACUUUUUGGAGAAAAAUUUAGGAAAUUUAAUUUAUGCAAUAUAAUUGACUCCUUUAGCAAUAUUUGAUAUUAUUGAGUUAUUUUUGAAUAGAUACGAGUGGUUUGGAGAUGAAUUCUAAAGGAAAAGCUGUGAUUGAGAAUUAAGUGGCCUUCAGAGCGAUGUAAGUGUUGUUUCUAACCCUGACUUGAGGGAAUUAGGAACCUUAGAUUACUUGCUAAGUGAAAUCCAUGUGAGCAACGUAUAUGUGAGGUGACAAGUACUUAUGUGCCGCCAAUUUACCUGUUUUCCAUGUUUCUCUGUUUUCCUUAUAUUGUCUCUUUCCUAUGCCAAAUUGCUAUGUGUUAUAUUAGUGUUGUUCAAUUUAUCGUUCUUAUCAUGUUUACGAAUUUUCUGGUGAUAAUUGAGUGUUUAUUUCAAAGUUGAGAUUGAUAUUAUGGAACCAAAUGUUGAAGUAAUGUUUGUACUUAUUAAUCUAUCUCUCUGUUGUUAUUUAUGCAUUGCAUUAUGGUAAGGGAGAGUGUUAAUACACGAAGGGUGAUGCCAUGCCAUAUUGUGAGUGUUAAUGCACGAAGGGUGAUGUCGUGCUAUGAUAUGAAAGUUAAUGCACGAAGGGUGAUGCCGUGCCGUUUCUAUUAAUUUUAGGUGAGAUUGAGAGUAAAAGCACAAAGGGUGAUGCCGUAUAUUUUUCAUGGUAUAUUGACUGCUCCGAUGAUCAUUCUAUUGUAGUUCUUUAUCUUGUAUUCCCCUACGUAUGUUCCCCUCCCGACAUUUUCUGUUUAGUUCUUCAUCUCUGUUAUUUAUAUAUACACUAUUAAAUUGUACAGGUUGAUUUGUAGGUGCCUUGCCUUAGCCUCGUCACUACUUCGUCGAGGUUAGGAUCGACACUUACCAGUAUAUGGGAUCGGUUGUACUGAUACUACACUCUGCACUUUCUGUGCAGAUUUUGAUAUCGGCUCGGGUUGAUCGAGAUUUUGCUAUUGGUCCGCUGUCCGGAGACUCAAUGUAGAUCUGUCGGUGUUCACAGACCUUGAAGUCCCCGUCUAUCUUUUCUGUUCUACUGUUUCUUUCAUUCAGACAUUUGUAUUUCUUUCUGACUAUUAGUUGUAGCAAAUUCUAGAAUGCUCGUGAAUUGUGACUCAAGAUCCGGGGUAGUAAUUAAUACAGUUUUAUAAUAUUCCGUACUUAUUAUAUUUCAUCUUAGUUAAUUAUUGUUAUUUACUGAAUGGAAAUAAGGAAUUGGUCUAACGAUUUUCUAACGUUGGCUUGCCUAACAAGUGAAAUGUCAGGCGCCAUCAUGGUCCCGUCGGUGAGAAAUUUCGGAUCGUGACAAUAGAACAAAGACAAUAGCAAAGGAAAUGAUAGAAGGUCUCUACAAAGAACAAUAUGCAAAAUUAGAGGACUAUUGUGCAGAACUCAAGAGAAAGAAUCCAGGAUCAAUUGUAUUGUUAGAAACAACACCUCAUGAAGAGGAUGGCAGACCUGUUUUUGAAAAAAUGUACAUAUGUCUUGAGCCCUGCAGAAGAGGUUGGAUGGAAGGUUGUAGGCCACUCAUUAGGAUAGACGGUUUCUUUCUUUAAGGACCAUAUGGAGGUCAACUUUUGACAGUAAUUGGGAUAGAUGCUGAUAAUGGUAUAUUUCCUAUAGCCUACGCUGUAGUUGAUAUUGAAAAUAAGCAUAACUAGAAGUGAUUUUUAAAUUUGUUGGUGGAUGACUUGCAAAUUAGAAAUCAUGAUAACUUAUGUCUCAUUACAGACAAACAAAAGGUAAGAUUUUUUAUCCACAUAUAAUACCAAAUUCUAAUUGCUUUCAAUUAUCAAAAUUAGCCAUGUUUAUUAUUCUACUCACUUUUGUAGGGUUUGGAGGGAGCUAUUUAUGAGACAGUUCUCCAAGUUGAACAUAGGCUUUGUGUAAGACAUUUGUAUAAUAAUUUCAAGAAAGAGCACAAAGGUUUAUCGUUGAAGAUAAGAGUUUGGAAAGCUGCAAGGGCAACUCAUGUAAGUAAGUAUAGAUAUGAGAUGGAUAUGCUGGAAAAGGAGGACAAAGAAGUUAGAAAUUAGUUCAACGAUAGACCACCCAAAUUCUGGAGCAAGUCACAUUUUAGAACAACAACAAAGUGUGAUAUGCUUUUGAAUAAUCUUUGUGAGGCAUCAAUGGGACAAAACCCAUUUUGAGGGCAAGGGAGAAACCUAUACUUGGACUACUUGAAGGAAUUAGAAUAUACUUGAUGAAGAAACUGAACCAAAAGAGGGAAGACCUGCUCAAAUACCAAGGUAAUAUUGUUAUUGUAACUUCUCUGAAGCACAAAAUAUUUAACAUGAUCCUGACAAUAUUUUACUAUAACAGGAAAUUUAUGCCCUCGAAUCCGAAAACUAGUAAAAAAAGUGAAGGAAGACUCGGCUACAUCAAUUCCUACUUGGGCUGAAAAAUUUUCAUUUCAAGUAAAGACCAUGUAUGGUGAACAAUUUAGUGUUGACUUGAGUGGAAGAAUCUAUUCAUGUAGGGGAUGGGACCUUACAGGAAUCUCAUGCUCACAUGCAAUGAGCUGCAUAUUCCAUAUAAGAGAGAAUCCAAAAAAUUUCAUACAUGAUUGUUACAAGAAGACUGCUCAAAUGAGGAUUUAUGAGCCAGUCAUUGCUCCAAUGGAUGGACCUGAUAUGUGGGAACCUACUGAUCUACUUGAUGUUAACCCUCCUAACUAUGAGCCGAAGACAAGUAAGUUGAACAAAAAUAGAAGAAAAGAGCCCGAUGAAAUUGAAGCCUCCGAGAGAAAAGUAGUUGAGAUGAAAAAACAGAGAAGAGAGAAAAAGAAAAAAUAAUCUACAACAAGUGAAAUGCAUGAUGUUACCAAAUUGAGUAAGAAAGGGAAGUUAGGGAGGUGUAGCAAGUUCUUGCAAACUGGUCACAACAAAAUAACUUGCAACAAGAGUAGCGAUUCCUCGAAUUCAACAACUCUACCUCAAGCUACUCAAACAACUCAAGAUUGGUGCCAAAAUGCUACAAGUCAAUCCCCACCCAAGUAAGCAAAUCAAUUUUGAGUCCACUUAUUGGACUGGACAUAUAAAUGAACCUUCCAAACUCAAUGUAAGUAUGGAACCUUGAAUAUAGGUGAUUUAGUACUUUGAGAGACAGUUAAUAUAUUUGUGUUCUUUAUUUAUUUUCACAGCUAAGAAGGCCAAUGGAGGAUGAUUCAUCUCAUAGACCUGCGCGAGCUCAAGUUGGUGGCAUUGUGUUAAAUGCUGAGAAGUAUAUGUAGAAUGGAAAAAAUUGUAUUAGCUUACAAACCCUUCAAAAUACAAGUGCUAUAGAGAAGUCCAAGAAAAAGAGCUUUGAUGUGGAAGAAAAUAGAAGCAAUUAGCAUAUGAAAUUAUCAGCAAGAACAAAUUUUAAUUUCAUCAAGACUUCUUUUGUUGUUUAAUGGAUAUUUCCCUAUCAUUUAUUCCUAAGAGAUUUUCAAUGUCAAGUUUGUCAUUUACCUUUACAAUUUAAUUUUAGUAUUUUUACUCUUCGAAGCCUUUUAUUUGUAUAUCCUAUUUUGCCCUCAUAAAAAAUUUAUAUAAAUGGUGGUUUUAUUAUUUUGCAAGAGAAUAAAGAGGUUAGGGUUGAAAUCGUAUAAAAAAAUAAGACAGGGUGCAAAUCACAAAAAAGGAUACACAUUAGAGGUGCAAAAUGCGACGGACUCAAAGAAUCUGAGUAUAUAAGUCUUCCGAGGCAUUCCCCUAAAAUAGUAUAAAUAAAGGCGUCUAUAAAUAAAUAAAUAAAUAAAGUCUAGAGAAAGAUUUGUUGUUACCGCUGAGAUGAAUCAACAGAGCCUGCACUCUAAGUCACGAAAAUAUGUCUCUAAUCACGGAUUUUCACCUACAAACGCAACACCUACCGCACGACGUGGUAGGCCCAAACGGGCUAAGUACCACCAAAGGAUAGCUAGAAGUCUCAUUGACUGCCCCCAAAGGUGGAGGGCAAGACUAGCGUGGGCCACAUAAAUAUAAAAAAAAUACAGCAAGUAGAGCAGACAAUUCAUAUAAAAAUAAUUGAAUAAUCUAAAAAGCUAAAACUUGUUUUGAUAACUGAAUUCAGAUUAGUAAAUGAAAGUCGAAGCUAUAAACUAAUUUUGUAUCUAAUAAAUGAAACUAAAACUUAAAACUGAGUCUAAAACUGAUAUCUGAAACUGAAGUUGAAAACUGUGUUACUUUUAAAAAAAUAGUUUUUCUGAAAAUAUUGCACAUAAUGGCGCUAUGUAUAUGAGGAUCUGGGCACCGUAUGGGGACUGUUAAAGCUACUUUGGAGCCUCCGGUCAUGCUUACUGAAACUCAAUCUGUAUGUGGGGCCAUCGAGUGACUCAAUCAAGCUUAACACGUCUGAACGUGCUAGCAUCUACAAGCAUGUGGUAGCUAGCCCUGGCCACCGUGACACUCAUGCUCGUGGAGGGUAUCUACUUUUCUCUUUUUGAAUCUGAAUCUGAAUUUGAAUAUUUUAGGCCCUCGUGGAUAAAGUCUCCACUAUACUAACUCAUACACACUAAGCCCUCGUGGAUAAAGUGAGACUAUAUUAUUUUUUUUCUUCUGAAUCUGAACUGAAAGUUUGAGCAGUACAAGCAAUUUCACGUAAACAAUCAAUCAGAGAACAUCAAGAACCUAUUCAUUUUCUGUUCUAAAUAUGAACUGUAGGUCUGAGCAAUAUAAGUAGCUUCACAUAAUAACAAUUCCACAUAAUCAAAUAAUUACAACAAGGCAUACUAUUUAAGAUUUCUCGUAUUAGAGGUUUUCAUUGUAUAUAUAUAGUAAGGCAAGCAAGCAAGCAAUAUACUAUUCACAUUUUAAUAUAGCCCUUUACUUAGGGAAGAAAGUUCAAAUCACCUCUAAUGGGGUGCUCAAGUUUUUCCUUCCAAGAACUCACGAAUUCGGCUCCUCAAAAUCUACAGUUAAGCAGUUACAAUCAUUAUUUUGUCCUACUAACUCAACACCCAUAAUUCACUCGAGGCUUUAUUGGCCAGCAAUAACUUUUCAUAACUUUCUACCCAUAACUCUUAUAAAUUUCAUAAUCUGUAGUCAUAGUCUGUCAUAAAAUUACUAACUUUAAUACUAAUAGGUAACGAAACGUAUCUUGAAUGAUGCCUCCACAAACCCUGGGUCUUGACGAACGCUUGAUUUUUUGGGUGAAAACCUAGAUUUUAGGAAUUAGAAGGUGUUAAACGAUGUUAAUCUAAAUUUUUUAACUUGAAUCCAUGGUAGAAAUCUUACCUUGGGUGGAUUGGUGAAUCCCUAAUCAAGUCGUUCUUGCUCUCAAAAUCUCUCCAAAAUACAGUAGAAAUAAGUGAACUUCUCUCAUUUUGAAGUGCCUCAACCUGACACGUUAUGCCACACGUCGCAUGGCACCUCGAAAUUUUUUAGAAACUCAAAUUUUCGCCCAUUUGACCCAAAUUUGGCCUGGCAUGUCGAGCCGCACGUAUGACACGUUGUUUUAGGAUAUUUUUUUCGGAACAAAUUGUUGUUAUGCUACUCUUUAGUAAAAUAGUCAUAAUUUCUUAUACGAAUGUUGAAACUAUAAACGUUUAAAAUUCUAGAAACUAGACUCAAAGAGCUUUCAUUUCAUAGUUCAAUUUAUUAUACAUUAGGAAAUAUGAUUGUUUAAAGUUGGAUCAUGUGAGACUAUGUUCGUUUUCUUCUCUUAAAUAUUUUUUCUUUGUUUCAAACUACCUCUCCUCUUUCAUAGAUAUCCAUAUAACCUUCCAAACAUAAGAUUUACAUAUUAUAAACCUUCUAAACUUUUUGAACACCCAUGUGUCUAACAUAUGGUUUGAAUGACGUAAUACUUAGCGAAAAUUUUUUGGGACAUUUCAUUGUACAAGAAUAUUCCUCUAUAAAUUUUUAAUAGAACUUGAAAAUAUUAAAUAUUAUAUUCCUUUCAAUUUGUAGAUCUAGCAAAAUAAUAUUUUGGCCAUACUUUCAUCAAUUUUCUGCUAGAUUUGCAGAGAGAUACCAUAGCAUCUGUGUUCUUGAAUUUCGGAUUUCUUAUUGAGAAGAGUUGUUAGCUUCAGGAGAGGUAUUGCAUGAGAAAGAAGAAAGAAAUCGAGGUUGGUUUGGGUCCGAUCUCGAAGGAGAAAUUGUUAUUGGGGCGGAAUUGUUCUUCGCGAACGCGAUGAGAUGGUCGCGAACUUGAAGCGGUGGGGGCUUACCCUUCGCGAACACGACUUGCUGUCCGCGAAUGAGAAGCUUUGUGGGCACCUGGGGGAGGCUCGGCAAUAACUCUAUGUGAACGCGGGAUUUGGCUCGCGAAUGCGAAGGCAAGAGGGAUUUAAGCCUUCAUGAACGCGAAGGGUUGAACGCGAAGGGUUGAUCGCGAUCACGAUGGCCAGUUGACCAGUGGCUUUCGUAAACGUGUCAAGUGCUUCGCAAUCGCGAAGGGCACCUGACCGCCACGCAUUAAAACAUUCCAAAAAUCGAGAUUUCACAAUUUUUCACUAUUCUCAAGUUAGAGCUCGGCCCAGAGGCGGUUUUGAAGAGGUUUUUUAUUCCAACUUUAUUGGUUAGUAGAUUUUAACUUAUUUUAUUACAUAAACAUCCAUUGAUUUUAACCUUUAAUCUAAGAUUUGUCAUGGUAGAAAUUAGGGAUUUAAGUAAGAAUUUGAGAAUUAGAGAAAUUGAUUUUUAGACCUCAAAUUGAGGUCGAAUUUCGAAACUAAACACAUAACCGUGCUUGGCGGUGAAUGAGUAAUUGGGUUUUGGUCCGAAUCUCGGGUUUUGACUAAGCGAGCCCCGAGUUAACUUUUGUUGACUUUUUUCGAAAUCAUUAAAGAUAGAAUCUGUUUCACUCGUGGGUAGUUUCUAAAGCCUAAUUUGAAUUAUUUGAACUAUAUUUUACUAGAUUUGAUUGGUUUGGAGGCUAAUUAUAAAGAAAAAGUCGCAGUUGUGCCUUGAUUUGGUUGUGGAGUGAGGUAAGUAUCGUGGUUAACCUUGACUUGAGGGAUUAGGGCUUGUUGGUCUAUUUGCUACAUGUAUUAUUUAUGGGGAUAAUGUAUAUGUGAGGUGACGAGUAUAUAUGUGUUACCAUUGGGUUAUAUCAUGCGGGUGGACAUUGUUUCUUUGUGUUGGAUUGUUUUAUCUACUAUGUUUUUUCCAUGCCUAGGUUAGAUUAUUACUGUUUUAAUUAUUCGUCUCGUAUUUAUUGUUUAUUUCAAAGAUUUUGGAAAUUUUGAAAGUUGAAUUUUUUAUCAUGGCAUUAUAAUUGAAGUGAAAUAUCUUCCCGCCUUGCAUUAUUAAUUCGGACUGUAUUAUUACUUGGUGAGGAAGAGUGAAAAGCAUAAAGGGUGUUGUCGUGCCUUAUUGCACACAUUAUCAUCUAUUGAGAGGUUGUGAGGAUUAAAACACGAAGGGUGAUGACGUACCUUUGACUGCACAUCAUUAUUAUCAUAUCAUGUGAGGUUGAGAGUAAAAGCACGAAGGUGAUACCGUGCCAUUUUAUUUAUGAUAUUACAUGGUGAGGACGAGAGUAAAAGCAUGAAGAGUGAUGCCGUGCAUCUUUAAUACAUUGCCUUAUUUAAUUUCCGGUUUGGUGAUUUACUUGGUUACAAUGUUGCGCAUUUUGGAAAGAUAUUAUUUAGUUACUUUAUACUUGGCGUUCUUAUGAUAUUCCCCUUUCGCAAGUCCCCUCCCCAUUAAUAUUUUAAUUAUUCUACUUGUUGUUUUAUUGUUUUAUGUAUAUAUUUGUACAAGAUUUUACGUAGGUAUUUUGUCAUAGCCUCGUCACUAUCUCGUCGAGGUUAGGCUCAACACUUACGGAGUACAUUGGAUCGAUUGUACUCAUGCUACACUUCUGCACUUAUUAUGCAGAUAAUGGUGCUGAUCCUAGCAGUGUCUAGAGGUGUUCUGCUCGGACUCAGCCACUUUUGGAGACUUGAGGUAUAGUUGCAUGGCGUCCGCAAUCCUGAAGUCCCCUUCUUUAUCUAUUCUACUGUUUAUCUAAACUCAAACAGUUGUAUUUGCUUCAGACCUUAUGUGUAGUACUCUAGUUGCUCAUGUAUUUGUGACUUCGUAUUCUGGGAGAUGUUUAGAUAUCAUCAUUAGUAUUCUAUUGUUCUAUUUUAGACUAUUUCGUUUUAUUUCUAUUAAUGUUUUACUUUGAAUUGAUAAAAUUGGUUAAGAAAUCUAGUUAAUUUUGGCUUGCCUAGCAAGUGACAUGUUAGGCGCCUUCACGGCCCCGAGGGUAGAAUUUCGAGUCGUAACAAGUUGGUAUCAGAGAACUAGGUUUCCUAGGUCUCACGAGUCACGAGCAAUCUUAGUAGAGUCAGGAGAAUUGGUAUGGAGACGUAUGUACUUAUCUUCUAGAGGCUAUAGAGCUUUAGGAAAAAUUUCACUUCUUCUUUCUCUAUCGUGCGGUUUUAUUCUAGCAAGUGAAAUGUUAGGUGCCUUCACGAUACCGAGAAUGAAAUUUCGGGUCGUGACAAGUUGGUAUCAGAGUACUAGGUUGCCUAGGUCUCACAAGUCCCGAGGAAGCUUAGUAGAGUCUGGAGAAUCGGUACAGAAACGUAUGUACUUAUCUUCUAGAGGCUAUUAAGCUUCAGGAAAAAAUUCACUUCUUCUUUCUUUAUCGUGCGAUUUUAUUCAUUUAUUAUCUCAGAUGGUGAGAACUCGCACAGCAUCUACAUCCGGGCAGGAGCUGAAGCCCUCACUUGCAGCCACUACCAGAAGUAGGGGCCGAGGCAGAGGCAAAGGCAGAGCUCAGGCUAGAGCACAUGCCGUAGCACCCACUGUAGAGCCCUAGAUUGUUCAUGAGGAGGCGAUCCCAGUCCUGACUGCACCAGUCAGACCGACUCAGGUCCCGAAGAAAUUUAUAGCCACUCCCAUACUUAAAGAUGCUCUAGUCUGCUUAGUUGGACCUAUGGAGAGCGUGGCCCAGAUUGGAGCAUUUCCAAUGGCACCAUCUAUCUCUCUGGUUGGGGGAGGAGCACAGAUUCCCGCUACUAACACUCUGGAGUAGAUGGCUCCCAUGUAUCAGACUCCAACAGUCCUGCCAGUUGGGGUAGUUCAGCCUUUUGUUACUACACAGACCGAGGAGAGGCUCGCCAUAUCUUCUAAGGGAUUGAUGAGGUUGGAUAAUUUCACAAAGCUCUUCCCUAUUCAUUUCAGUGGUGCACCUUCUGAGGACCCAUAGGAUUAUUUGGAUCGUUUCCAUGAGGUGUUGCGCAACAUGGGCAUUGCUGAGGCCAAUAGGAUCGACUUUGUAGUGUUACAGAUGACGGUUAUGCCAAGAGAUGGUGGCAGGAUUUUGAGCAGGGUAGACUAGCAGAUUUGCCACCCCUCACUUGGGAUUAGUUUUUGCAGCAAUUUCUAGAGAAGUUUAUUCCUUUCACUCUGAGAGAGGAGUACCGUAGGCAGUUCUAGCGUCUUCAGUAGGGUAGCAUGAUUGUUACCCAGUAUGAGACCCGAUUUAUGAACCUAGCUCUCCAUGCAGUUAUCUUACUCCCUACUGAGAGGGAGAGGGUGAGGAGAUUCAUUGGUGGACUUACUUUCAGUAUCAGGCUACUGAUGACCAAGGAGACUGGGGAUGAUAUUUCUUUCUAGAGGGUCGUAUAGAUUUCUAGACGGAUCGAGAUAAUUCAUAGUCAGGGUAGAGAGACGGUGUCUGAGAAGAGGCCUCGUCAUUUAGGUGGCUUCAGUGGUGCCUCAUCUGGAGGUAGAGGUUCUUUCAGUAGAGGCUAUCCUCCUAGGCCGAUUCAGUCAGCUCUCCAGUCAUCCCACGGUGCUUCAGGUAGUCUUGGUUCAUAUGGGCAUCGUCUGGGGCAGCCAGCCUACAGUGCACCUUGAGCUCCUAUCAGUGCACCGCCGAUUCAGAGCUAUCACAGUGACUUUCCAUGUUGUCAAGGUCAGUUUCAGCCUCUGCAGCCAUAGCAGCCGAGGGCUUGCUAUACAUGUGGAGAUCCGAGGCACGUUGCUAGAUUUUGGCCUAGGUCAUAGGGCGACAUGCCACAUCAGGUUUCUCGUGCUAUGGUUCCAACACUAGUUUCUCCACCGCCCGCUUAUCCAGCUAGAAGUGGAGUCAGGCUGCUAGAGGUAGAGGUCAGGCGGCUAGAGGUGGUGGUCAGGCCAUUUGAGGUGGAGGCCAGCCAGUUAGAGGUCUCCCGAGGUGCGGAGGUCAAAGUGGUGGGGCUCAGCCCUAUUUUUAUGCAUUCCCAGCCAGACCCGAGGCAGAGUCAUUCGAUGCCGUCAUUACAGGUAUUGUUCUAGUUUGCUAUAGAGAUACCUCAAUUUAUUUGAUUCGGGCUCUACUUAUUUCUACGUGUCAUCCUAUUUUUCUUCAUAUUUGGUUAUGCCUCAUAAUUCUUUGAGUGCUCUUAUCUAUGUGUCCAUGCCUGUGGGAGAUUCUAUUGUAAUAUAUCAUGUUUAUCGUUCGUGUGUGGUUUCUAUCGAGAGCCUUGAGACUAGUGUAGAGCUUCUACUUUAUGAUAUGGUUGACUUUGAUGUUAUCUUAGGCAUCGAUUAGUUGUCACCUUAUCACGCUAUUUUGGAUUGUCACGCCAAGAUGGUGACAUUAGCCAUGUUAGGUUUGCCUCUAUUAGAGUGGAGAGGGACUCAUGGUCGUUCUACUAGCAAGGUUAUUUCUUAUGUGAAGGCUCGGCGUAUGGUCGAGAAGGGUUAUCUAGCAUAUUUGUCCUAUAUCCAUGAUCCUAGUGCGGAGGUUCCUUCCAUGGAUUCAGUACUAGUUAUGCGGGAGUUUCAGAGGUGUUUCCUACAGAUUUUUCGGGGAUGCCACCCGACAGAGAUAUCGACUUCUGCAUUGACUUGGCUCCGAGCACUCAGUCCAUUUCUAUUCCAUUAUAUCGUAUAGCCCCAAUUGAGUUGAAAGAACUGAAGGAGUGAUAAGUGUGGAUUUUGACCACUUAGCAUCUUCUUGUUGCUUUUAUUUUAGUCCAAAAGUAUUGAUUUAUGUUCCCAAAACUAAUGAAAGUGUGAAAAUUGCAUGAAUGUUGGAAAAUUGGACUCUCAUGAAAAAAUUUGAUUAAAGGAGUGUUUCGACUCACAAGGCAAGAAGGGGCACAUAACUUAAGAAGUGCGGUCCACAGAGGUAUUUUUGUGGCCGUAGAAGAAAGUGUCGACUGCAGAAUUCCCUCUGCGAUCGUAGAACAAGUAAAGAUGACCAGCAGAUUUUAAGCCAAUGUGCCGACCGCACAUGAAUUGUGCGGCCAGAACAGGGUUUGCACUGAUAGAAAUUCAAAUGUUUAGAGAGUGUACAGAUGACCAAGACUUGAAGCCUUGCCUGAAGUGCGGACCGUACAAGAAUUGUGCGGCCGCAGAAGAUGCACUGCAGCCGCACACCAAAUUGUGCCACUGUAGAAUCUAAGUCCUUACAAGCUGAAGCAAUCUGCGAAUCACACAUGGAAUUGUGCGGCCGCAGAACCUCCCGAGGGGCAUUUUUGUUAGCCAAUUUUGGGCCACUAUAAAUAGACGAGAAUCAUAUUUUUAGGUCAAGUUUCAAUAUUUGAGCUGUUGUAGCCAUUGUAUUUUGCUAUUUUUGGAAGUUUGUGACUAUUUUAGGAUUUAAAUAUCUUAUUUUAUCAUUUUAAUCUUAGAUUAUGAGUUUAAUUAGUAUUUCUUCUUUAUUUUCUUCAUUUCUCACUAUAGGUAGCUUGAUUCUUACUAGGGUUGUGACCCAACCCUAGUGUGUAAACCUUAUGGGUAUUUAAUUUAAUGCUUAUUUAUGAUUGGGUGUUGAUUAUUUAGCCUAGUUUAUGCUUUAAUUUUAGAAUUAAUGGUUGCAAAUAUUGAUUCAUGCCUUUUUGACUUGGUCUUAGCUUGAGAAAGAGAGACCUAGUCUAGGAAAACUUGGCUAACAAGAAAUUGGGCUAAUUAAGAGUUUGAUUAGCCUAAUUAAAGGGUUUGAACUAGAGAUAGUGAGAACUCGACUUGAGCUCAUAUCAACUAUUUAGCUUGAUACCCAUUUGGGCUUGAAAAAGCCAAAUUGACAAAAUCACUCUAUGACCGAGAGGUAUUGAGUGGGUAACUCAAAGUUUAGAGCUAUAAUAUACCCCGAUCAAUAAAAUAAGUAUUAACGUAUUUAACCCAUUAGGUGAACACCUAGGUUAAGGUCACAUCCCUAGGCUUUUUAACUAUUUGGAAAAACAACAAAAACAAUCAUUCACUUUCCAGUUUCUUCUCUUAGCUUAUAAUUAUUAGAGUAAAAUUAGAAGAAAAAAUCAAAACCCUUUGUUUGGAAGUGCAAUCUAGUUGUUCCAUUUGCUUUCGUCAAGUGUAUACUCCUAACUCCCAUAUUAAACUCCCUGUGAAAAUCGACCCUGACUCUUGUUGAGUACUAUUCUUCCAACGACCGUUUCCACUCACUAUUGAGUGCGGAUUGGACGUUGAUCAAUUUUUGGCGCCGUUGCCAGGGAUUUAAAACGGUGUUUGCUAUAUAUUUGAGUUUAUUUUUGGAAUAUCUUCUUUCCCUUCCGUGUUAAUAACUUGUGUGAGAAAUUAUAGGCACAAACAUAGCGAACAAUGAUAUCGAAAAUUUUCCCUUGGGGGAAUUAGACGGCGAGGAGGAGCAAGUAGAAGAGGUACCUCUUGAGCCUCAAGCCAACCGGAGAGGCCGAGUACCUCAUGACAAUGUGCCCGUUCCACCCCCACCUCUAUCACGAGCGGCUCCACACUGGAUAUUGCCCAACGAAGGUUAUGCUAGUGCAAUAGUCCCUCCUCAUUUUAGGGCGAGCAACUUUCAAAUAACUAAUGUUGCUUGAGCAACGGGGUUUCUUUACCGGUACUCCAACUCAAAAUGCUUACAAAUAUUUGAAGGGCUUUGUGGAUACAUGUUGGGGGAGCAAGCAAACUAAUGUUUCUGAGGAUGCAUUGAGGCUAAGGCUUUUUCCCUUCUCUCUACGGGGGAAAGCUUUAGAUUGGUUGGAACGAUUGCCAAACCAUUCAAUUCACACUUGGGAUGAGUUGGCGGAAAAGUUCAUUGCUAAGUUUUUCUCUCCCGGGCACAUGGCUACACUUCGAGAUGAGAUCUUCGAAUGCAAGCAAGAGCCUAAUGAACCACUAGACGAAAUAUGGGAGCGCUAUAAGACAACGAUUAAGGAAUGUCCCAAAACCAAUAUGACGAUAAACAUGAUUCAACAAACCUUCUGUCGUGGGAUUAACACAACCAACCAAUGUGUAGUGAAUCAACUAACCAGUGGGAACUUUAUGACUACGUCUUAUGCGGAGGCGUGUGAAAUAUUGGAUGAGAUGGCGGAAACAUCGUCGGCUUGAAAAUCCCGGACCAAUGAUCUACCUUUACAAAUAAUUGCAAGACCAUGGGCAAGCCAUUGCCUAAUUGACCACUACCAUGACUCAACUAGCAAAGGUCCAACUAAAUCAAGUGCAAGCUCCUAAGCAAGUCAAUGUUGUGGAGGGAGUGAACAUAAUGGUGAACAAGAUGUGGACCAAGGGUCCACAAGUGCAAACUCAAGUGGAGAAAUAUGUGCAAGAUGAUGGUGGUUUUGAGAAAGAUGAUACAUAUAAUGAACAAGAAGAGGAAGUGUAAUAUGUGAACAAUUUUCAAGGGCAAAGAAAUAACUUCCAAGGCCCAAACCAACAACAAUGGCAACCACAAAACAAUGAUGGCAAUUGGAAUUCCAACAAUCAAGGAAAUUGGCAUAACAAUAACAAUCAAGAAAAUUUGAGUGGAAACAACCAAGGAAAUUGGAUAGGCAACAAUCAAGGUGGAUGGAGUAACAAUCAAGACAAUCAGGGGUCGGGUUUUCAAAGGCCCCAAAUAUACUAACAACCGAGCAACCUACCUCCUUAUCCUUCCUAUGGUUCAAGUUCUUCAAACAAUGAGAUGGGACGUAUUGAAAGUAUUUUCAAGCAAAUGAUGGAAAAGAAUGUCGAUUUGGAUGCCCAACUUGCCUCACACAACACAUCAAUUCAUAACCUAGAAGUUCAAAUGGGGCAAAUCUCUCAAGCUCUAAAUUCUAGUCCUGAGGGGGCACUACCAAGUGACACGGUGGUAAACCCAAAGAGACGUAACAAUACGGGGCAUUCCAUGGAGGUUAUCACAAGAAGUGGAAGAGGCGGGAAUGCACCCACCUCAAGUGAAAGGAGACUUGUUGAUGAUGAUCAAGUGAUGCAAGAAGAAGAGAUCCUGAACAAUGUUGUACAACCUAAUUAGGAAGUUCGGAUUGAUAUUGAUGAUAGUGGGGAAGAGACUCAAGAGGAGGUGAACCCGUCUAGGGAAUCCAUUAUUGACAUACUGGAGCCGGUAGUGCAAAAGGCUAAGGCACCAUUGCCUAAGCCUCCACCUCCAUACCCUCAAAGACUUUCCAAGUAAAAUAGUGAGAAUCAAUUCAAGUUCAUCAAAUGAUUAAGAGUAUUUCAAUCAAUGUUCCAUUGGUCGAAGCUUUGGAACAAAUGUCCGAUUAUGCAAAGUUUAUGAAGGAUAUUGUGAUAAAGAAACGAUCGAUGAAUUUUGAGAUAAUCAAAGUCACUCAUCAAGUGAGUGCAUUGUUCAUUCAAUGGCUCCUAAGUUGGAGGAUCCCGGUGCUUUCACGAUAACUUGUACAAUUGGAAAUGCCGAGUUUGCUAAAACUCUUUGUGAUCUUGGGGAAAGUAUAAAUUUGAUACCCUAUUCAGUUUUUAAGACUUUGUGAAUUGAGAAACCAAGACGCACCUCUAUGAGAUUGUAAAUGGUCGAUCGUACCAUGAAAAGGCCAUUAGGUGUGAUUGAAGAUGUUUUGGUCUGGGUUGAUAAAUUUAUUCUUCCAGCAGAUUUUGUCAUUCGAGAUUGUGAUGUUGAUUAUGAAGUUCCAAUUAUUCUUGGGAGACCUUUCCUUGCUACAGGUAAGGCUCUUUGUGAUGUUGAAGCCGGAGAGCUCACAUUCCGGGUUGGUGAUAAAAAAAGUAGUAUUUCAUGUGUGUAAAUCCAUGCGGCAACCAAAUAGCAAUGAGGUGUGCUUUUGUCGAUUAGGUGACCGAUGUUAUUGUUGAUGAAACAAGUGCUACAAUCAAUGUUGGUGAUAUGUUGGAGGCCAUUUUGCUCAAAUUGGAUGAUGACGAGAUGGAUGACUUCAUGGAAUGUGUGAACUCUUUGCAAGGAAUGGAGUCGUAGAACUAUGCACCUUGAAAAUUGUCCUUGGAUCUUGAAAAUAGGAAUACUCCUCCUACAAAGCCUUCUAUUGAAGAGCCACCUAUCUUGGAGUUGAAGCCAUUGCCUCCACAUCUUUGGUAUGAAUUUAUUGGCCCUUGUUCUACUUUACCAUUUAUUAUUUCCUCUUGUUUGAUUAACGUGCAGGUAGAUUCCACAUUGGUGGUGCUACAAAAGAGGAAGAAGGCUAUUAGGUGGACCUUGAUAUUCGGGGUAUAAGUCCCGCCUUUUACAUGCAUAAGAUCAAGUUAGAGGAUGGCGCAAAACCAUCUAUUGAACACUAAAGGAGACUCAAUGAGGCUAUGUAAGAAGUUGUCAAGAAGGAGAUUAUCAAGUGGUUGGAUGCCGGGGUUGUCUACCAUAUCUCCGAUAGUUCAUGAACUUCUCUGGUUCAAUGUAUCACAAAGAAGGGGGCAUGGCGGUGGUCACCAAUAACAAGAAUGAAUUGAUUCCUACAAGAACGGUGACCGGUUGGAGGGUGUGUACGGAUUAUCGCAAGCUCAACAAAUUCACAAGGAAGGAUUACUUUCCACUUUCUUUCUCAGAUCAAAUGCUUGAUAGAUUGGCCGGUCGUUAUUUCUAUUGCUUUCUUGAUGGGUACUCAGGCUACAAGCAAAUUCUCAUUGCUCUGGGAGAUCAAGAGAAAACAACCUUUACAUGUCCCUAUGGUACUUUUGCCUUCAAGCGGAUGCUAUUUGUUUUGUGCAAUGCACCAACGACUUUUUAAAGGUGUAUGAUGGCUAUUUUCACGGGCAUGGUGGAGGACUACCUUGAAUUUUUCAUGGAUAACUUCUCGGUGGUUGGAGAUUCUUUUAGUGAUUGUCUUGCAAACUUGGACAAAGUGUUGGCUAGAUGUGAAGAAACCAAUUUAGUACUCAAUUGGGAGAAAUUCCAUUUCAUGGUCGAGGAAGGCAUUGUCCUUGGCCACAAAAUCUCAAGGAAUGUAAUUGAAUUUGACAAGGAAAGGAUUGAGGUGAUUUCUAAGCUUCCACCCCCAACUUUGGUAAAGGAUGUGCAAAGUUUUUAGGCCAUGCGGAUUUUUAGGUAUGCAAGCUUCUUGAGAAGGAUGCCAAAUUUAAUUUCAAUGAUGAUUGCAUGAGGGCUUUUGAAUUGUUGAAGCUCAAGUUGACAACUACUCCCAUCAUCACCGCUCCAAGUUGGAGUGUGCCUUUUGAACUCAUAUGUGAUGCAAGUGACAUAGCGGUUGGGGCUAUUUUAGGGCAACGCAUCAACAAGAUUUUUCAUCCAGUCUACUAUGCUAGUAAGACCAUGAAUAGUGCCCAAGUCAACUAUACCGUUAUGGAGAAAGAGCUUCUUGAUAUUGUGUUUGCAAUUGAGAAGUUCUGCCGGUACUUGAUGGGUGCAAAAAUUAUUGUCCACACGGAUCAUGCGGCGCUUCAUAUCUUAUGAGCAUAAAGGACUCCAAUGCUCGAUUUAUGAGAUGGGUGCUCUUGUUACAAGAAUUGAAUAUUGACAUCCAAGAUAGUAAAGGUAGUGAAAAUCAAGUGGCGGACCACUUGUCUCAUUUGGAGGAGGAGGGGAGGCCGCAUGAUGGCCUUGAAAUCAAUGACUCCUUCCUCGAUGAGAAACUCUUGGCAAUUUCAAUGAAAGAGGUGCCAUGGUUCUCAGACUUAGCAAAUUUUUUUGUGUGUGGAAUCAUUCUGGAUGAGUUCUUUUCAAGCCAAAGGAAGAAGCUCAAAAGAGAUUUUCAAGAUUAUUAUUGGGAUGAACCAUACCUUUUCCAGAUUUGUACGGAUGGGGUGAUUAGGAGGUGUAUACCGGAAGAAGAGCAAGGUGAUAUUAUUGGGGCUUGUCAUUCUUCGCCAUAUGGUGGUCAUCAUGGUGGAGCGAGAACAACGGCAAAAGUGCUUAGUUAUGGUUUCUAUUGGCCUACUCUUUACAAAGAUGAUAGUGAUUUAGUGAAAAGAUGUGAUGAAUGUCAACGGGCCGGUGGAAUCUUGAAGAAAAAUGAAAUGCCUCUCACAACUAUUUUGGAGAUUGAUAUUUUCGAUGUGUGGGGUACUGACUUCAUGGUACCUUUCGUGAGUUCUUGUGGAUACAGCUACAUCUUGGUUGCGGUAGAUUAUAUGUCCAAAUGGGCUGAGGCCGUUGCUUUACCCAACAAUGAGGCGAGAAGUAUGGUGGCUUACUCGAAGAAUAAUAUUUUCACAAGGUUUGGUACUCCACGUGCAAUUAUAAGCGAUGGUGGAUCACAUUUUUGCAACAAGGCUUUUGACACUUUACUUAGCAAGUAUGGUGUUACUCACAAAGUCACAACUCCCUAUCACCCACAAGCUAGUGGUCAAGUGGAAGUCUCCAACCGGGAGAUAAAGAAUAUCUUGUUCAAAACGGUGAAUGAUAAUCGAACGGAUUGGUUCAAGAAGCUUNNNNNNNNNNNNNNNNNNNNNNNNNNNNNNNNNNNNNNNNNNNNNNNNNNNNNNNNNNNNNNNNNNNNNNNNNNNNNNNNNNNNNNNNNNNNNNNNNNNNNNNNNNNNNNNNNNNNNNNNNNNNNNNNNNNNNNNNNNNNNNNNNNNNNNNNNNNNNNNNNNNNNNNNNNNNNNNNNNNNNNNNNNNNNNNNNNNNNNNNNNNNNNNNNNNNNNNNNNNNNNNNNNNNNNNNNNNNNNNNNNNNNNNNNNNNNNNNNNNNNNNNNNNNNNNNNNNNNNNNNNNNNNNNNNNNNNNNNNNNNNNNNNNNNNNNNNNNNNNNNNNNNNNNNNNNNNNNNNNNNNNNNNNNNNNNNNNNNNNNNNNNNNNNNNNNNNNNNNNNNNNNNNNNNNNNNNNNNNNNNNNNNNNNNNNNNNNNNNNNNNNNNNNNNNNNNNNNNNNNNNNNNNNNNNNNNNNNNNNNNNNNNNNNNNNNNNNNNNNNNNNNNNNNNNNNNNNNNNNNNNNNNNNNNNNNNNNNNNNNNNNNNNNNNNNNNNNNNNNNNNNNNNNNNNNNNNNNNNNNNNNNNNNNNNNNNNNNNNNNNNNNNNNNNNNNNNNNNNNNNNNNNNNNNNNNNNNNNNNNNNNNNNNNNNNNNNNNNNNNNNNNNNNNNNNNNNNNNNNNNNNNNNNNNNNNNNNNNNNNNNNNNNNNNNNNNNNNNNNNNNNNNNNNNNNNNNNNNNNNNNNNNNNNNNNNNNNNNNNNNNNNNNNNNNNNNNNNNNNNNNNNNNNNNNUUGUGUCGCGACGUUAAAUCAGGCGCUUCUUGGGAGGCAACCCAUGUUUCUUUCCUUUUUCUUUUGUAGUUAGGUAUUAUUUGUGUUCUAACUUGAUUUGAAGUAUGCUACAAGGAUGAGUGUGACUUACAAGACAGGUGGACAAAAAUAUGGCUAAGUGUUCAAGAUUGUGCGGACCGCACAUUUUUAUGUGCCAUAGAAGAAGUGCAUUGCAGCCUCACAUUUCUCUUGCAAACCGCACAUUUGAAAUGUCAAAAAUACCAACUCUCUGAAGUUUAAGCUAGUCAGUGCGGAGGUCGAUCUACGAUCGCACGUGAAAUCUACGGCCGCAUCGGAAAAUGUGUGGACCGCAGAUAGAGUUAUGAGAUAAGGCCCCCAGGUGAAAGAGUGCGGACCGCACAUGAAAAUGUGCGGCUGCACUCACCUCUUUUACCUUCUAAAAUAGUUGGUAUAAAUAGAACAGUAGGGCUCAUUGAACACUUUCCCUCCCUGAACAAAAUAUUGUAGCUCUGUUGAAUUUUCUUGGAUAUUUUUCACUGUCCUCACACACAACCACCUUGAUUAUCAACUCAUUGCACUCACUCUAUCAAGUAUGCUUUAAUUUCAUGUUAAAUAUUUUCUGUUACUUUAAUUUUUAGAUUAUUAGUUCUUUUUAGGCCAUCUGUUAUUAGAGUUCAAUUAUGUGUCUAUGUGGGGUAGAUCUGAACUGGGUAAUUGGAUACAUGCUCUAAUGAGGUUGGGUUAGUGUAAUUUCAUGUUUUUACUAUGUUGCCAUGACUAGUUUUGCAAGAAAUUGAAAAACCUAAGUAGACAAAAAUAGGUAUGUUCGUAACUUUUUGAAAUUUGCGGCCGUACUAGAAAUUGUGCGGUCCUCAACUCAGCAAAAUUGGCAACUCGGGGUUGAACGAAUCUACGGCCGUAAGUUAAAUUGUGCGGACCGUAGAUUUUUUUUUGCGACCAGAGAUUGGCCAUUUCUCUGUCAUCAGAGAGUUAAUAAUUUUGAGACUCAGAAAUGAGGCCGCAAGUUAAAAUGUGCGGACCGCACUUUCCUUCUACGGCCGCAUAACAAAAUUUUGCGGACCGCGAUUUUCCUUCUGCUGCCACACAAAAAAAUUGUGCAGCUCGCAGAUUCCUUUACCUACAGACAUGUAUUGCAUGCAUAACCCCACUAUGUCCAAUGGUUUUUCCCUUACCUACAUAAGUCCUGAAUGUGUUGAACAAUGAAUUGCAACUAAACUUAUUCUUUACGUUGAUACAUACAAUGAUUCGAUCAAGAGGUAGAGGCGACACUUCAAAGGAAAGAGGUGAAUCCUCUCGGGGUCGAGGUAGAGGUACCUUGCCCCUUGGACAGCCUAAGAUAAUCAGGAAGAAAACCAAAGUUGGCAGAGGGAGAGGUGCAGACCUCUCCUAGUCUAGGUCCUAUGUCCCAUCUAGGGAGGUGUUAGAAGGCAACUCAGCCUCUGUUUAAGAGGAGCAGACGGCCACACAGUCGAGGCCACAGGGGAGAUACCAGAUCAGGGAUGAGCCUUCUUCAUCUCACAGCACCUCCAAGGGUUUGGAGAGUGCUAGCCAGGCUUUUAAGCCAUUAGCUACACCAGUCCCUGAGGCACAGGUUAUACAUGACAUCCCCAAUGAUGGUAAAGGGGAAGAUGCUACAGCUACAGGUCUAGAGAGAUCAAAGAAGAAGGAGGUUUGGGAGGAUCGAUUUGUCCGCUUGGCCGCCUUCACUAGUUUUCGUAUAUGGUGGCCAGUGAGGUCGUUGACUAUUAAGCGCCAGUUCUUAUUGAAAGACUUGGAGACAUACAACCCUGUAAUAUUGAGACAAUUCAGGUCAUGAAAGGGUUGGAUGUGGUUCACCGAGAGAGUGGAGGAUGCCAAAGAAUACCUCGUCCGGGAGUUCUAUGCCAAUGUUGCUCAUAUAAAUAAAAGGACGAAGGUGACCAAAGUGCAAAACCUCAAGGUAAGGUUUGAUCAGCAUACGCUAAACGUGUACUUGGUCUUCGAGGAUAUUGAGCCAAAAGAGUUUCUGGAAAAGUGCGCACUAAAGGAGGAAGUACGACCUUGGCUGGCUGAGAUCUUAGCACCACCAGGGCCACCAGCUCCAUGGAUUACCGAUGGGGUUCCCAUUCAGCGGAGCACUUUGAGUUUUGAGGCUAAGGGGUGGCAGAUAUUUGUUUUUAGCAGAUUGGAUCCAUGCCAAAACGAGACUCACCUUCCUAUUCCUCGGUCAGUUCAUAUGGCUUCCAUUAUGUCCGGGUACCCAAUCAAUGUGGGUGAUGUGAUAUCGGCCAACAUUUCAGUGAUUGCACGACAGGAUAGCUCGGCCUACCCUCAUCCCAACACUAUCACAGAGUACCUCACUAAUGCAAAGGUAGAGCCAAGAGAUUUUGACACCAAGGUGAAGCUAAAGAAGCCAUUCAACCGGUAUUCACUGAUGGAUUCGAGCAACCCAAAGAAGAAAGUCCAGCCUUCUAGCACCACAGGCCAGUCUGAUGAGCCAGCAGUGGUAGUUUCUAAGACAGCUGAUCUUCCAUCCACUUUUGCUGAGCCUUCUACCAAUGCUGCUGCUAUGCCUCCGCCAUCAUCCUCAGCUCCUACCACAGCCCCUAGAGUAGCUCUGAAGCCAGUUCUCGUGCCUACAGUUUCACUACCUGCUCUAUGAGUCUCCCAAACAUUGGCGAGUCUCAACAACUGGAUGCAGACAGCUACUUCUAAGUUGUCUGACUUGUCUAGUAUUGUCCAUUACUCAGGCACCACAGGCUCUGUCUGACAUUGAUGAGAUGCUAAAGAAGAUUCUAGAGAACUAGAAGAUGAUCAUGGACACCUUGGUACAACAAGGGUCAGUUAUGGCGGAGCUGGGAAAGGAAGUGAAGAAGAUGAUGAAGUCUCAAGCAAGCAAGAAAUUAGUGGACAAGCUCCGAAAGGAGAUGACUAGACUUGUUGUAGCUGGAGACCUGCCUUCUGACAUGCUCAUUGACCUGCACCAGUCCACCCCAGAUCCUUCAGCGCCAUCUGCACCAGUAGCACCAGCUGGCCAGUCUGACGAGCCAGAGCUUGCUAUCAAUACUGCUGAGGUGCAAUGUUCGACAAUCCAGCCAUGCCUAGAUUUGAUGAUGAUGAGAUUUAGUUGGCUGACCCUGAGGGAGAUGAUAUUGCUGGGGACACUGAGAUCUCCAAGGAUCCUUGGGUAGUUUUCUUUACCCUCUCUCCUUGUACUCUUAUUUUGCUAAGCAUUGGGGACAAUGCUUACUUUUAUUCGGGGGAGGGGGGGUUAUUUUAUACAUUGGCACAUUCUAGAUACAUUUGGUCUGUAAUAAUUUGAUGAUUCUCUCUCUUUUCUUAUUUGUAGUUAUCUAUCUUCUCUCACUUUUCUUAUUUGUAUUUAUCUAUCUUUAGUAGUUAUUGUUCAUUAGCUUCUUUAUUUUUCUAUUUUAGUCUUUAUUUUGUUGAGUAGCUUCUUUUUAUGCUUUCAUAGAUAAUAAGCCUUUGAUUUUCAUAAUGCCACGGUUCUUUCCAAAGAAAUUUUGUGUGUGAAUCGGGUGACAUGUCCCAACGAUGGAUGGCGUGACAACCUUCUUAAGGGAAUGGGUCCGUUUUUGUAUUUAGGUGGUAGUGGUAGUAGUGGUGGUGGUAGUGGUAGUAGUGGUAGUAUUGGUAGUAGUAGUGGUGGUGGUGGUAGUGUUGGUGGUAGUAGUGGUAGUGGUGGUAGUGGUGGUAGUGGUAGUAGUGGUAGUAGUAGAGUGGUGGUGGUAGUGGUGGCGGUAGUGGUGGUAGUGGUAUUAGUGGUAGUAGUGGUAGUAGUGUUAGUAGUAGUAGUAGUCGUAGUAGUCGUAGCAGUAGUAGUAGUGGUGGUGGUGGUGGUGGUGGUGGUAGUGGUGGUAGUGGUGGUGGUAGUAGUAGUGGUGGUAGUGGUGGUGGUAGUAGUGGUGGUGGUAGUGGUGGUGGUAGUAGUAGUGGUGGUAGUGGUGGUGGUAGUGGUGGUAGUGGUAGUAGUAGUAGUAGUAGUAGUAGUAGUGGUGGUGGUGGUAGUAGUGGUGGUAGUAGUGGUGGUGGUGGUAGUGGUAGUGGUGGUGGCGGUGGCGGCAGUGGUAGCGGUGGUAGUAGCAGUGGUAGCAGUGGUAGCGGUGGUAGCAGUGGUAGCAGUAGUAGCAGUAGCAACAGUAGAAGCAGCAGCAGCCUGCUGCUCUAGUAGUAGUAGUCGUAGUAGUAGUCGUAGUAGUGGUGGUAGUGGUAGUAGUAGUGGUGGUAGUAGUAGUAGUGGUGGUAGUGGUAGUAGUAGUAGUAGUAGUGGUAGUAGUGGUCGUAGUAGUGGUGGUAGUAGUAGUAGUAGUAGUGGUGGUAGUUGCGGUGGUAGUAGUGGUGGUAGUAGUGGUAGUGAUAGUGGUGGUAGUAGUGGUGGUAAUAGUGGUGAUAGUAGUGGUGGUAAUAGUGGUGGUAGUAGUGGUCUCGACUCUAUCCUUAUUUAAACUUGAAUGUGGUUAUUGUAGGCUCUCAACUCUUUCCUCUUUUACAAUCUAGUAUCGUGAGGGGUGACAUGAAUUGUUGCUAAUCCAAGUAUCCGUGCGAAUGAUCUAGAACUUACCCCGAAUGUAUUUCAAGGUGAAAUCCUAAGUUUUGAUUGGUUUGAGAAGUGAUUAUAGGCUUUCCUUGGUCCGUUUGAGUUUUCUAUUGCCAACCAAUGUCGUUAUCCCUAGUCAAUCCCUUUGAGCCUCUAGCCUUUCUCAUUUGAUAACCAUGUUAUAAGCCUUUACCCCUUUUGUCAUGACCUUCUCUUGGCACCCGGACUUUCCUUAAGACUCUUGUGAAAUAAGUUUGCUUAAAGCAUAAGUUUGGGGGAGAGAUGAGGAAUGUGAAAAAAGUAUCAAGACACAAAAAGAGAAAAGAAAUGAUCUCUAUGAAAAGAGAACGCAAGAAAAGAAAAGGAAUAAAAAGAAAAAUGCAAAAAAAUAAAAAGAGAAUAAGUGAAAGGGUUAAUGGAUUCGAAAAGAGGCAAUGAUCCCUAACAUGAGCAUCAAAAGGGAGAAAAAGAAUGAAAUGAACAAGAAAGAGUGAUGUCAAAGCUCUCAAGUCCCCAAUGAAAAAAAUGCCUCUAAGAAUUGGUAAUCAUAAGCCGAGAAAUGAAAAUUUGGAGUGCUUAAGAAAAGGUGUAACCACUUACUCAUAUGGUAUCCUACCCUAAUCCAAAAUCCUUCAUUACAAUCCGAAAGAAGUUUGACUUGAUUUCGAACCGAGUGAGCUUACAUUAGUGGUGAUCUACAUGAGGGGCAAGUCUAUGGUACUUGAAGCCGUACUUCUGACAUUCUCUUGUGAGAGAUGAGUGAACCUUUCAUGAAUCCUAAGAUUGAGUGCUAACUUUUUAAGUGAGAUAGGCAAAUGGAAAGUAGAGGAGGAAGAGUUUGGAGUCCACCAUGACCUACAUGAUAGAACAAGAGUCCUUGAUGAGUAAAGCCAGUUCUUGAAGCUCAAAUGUCACAUUAGAACUAUAUGUGCAUGAAUAUUUGACUUGUCACAUUAGAACCGUGAAAUUCCCUAUGCGGGCGCAGAACAAGUGAAGAUGCCCGGCAAAUUUUAAGACAAUGUGCGAACCGCACAUGAAUUGUGCGGCCGCAAAACAGGGUUUCCACUGACAGAAAUUCAAAUGUUCAGAGAGUGUGCAGAUGACCAAGACUUGAAGCCUUGCCUGAAGUGCGGACCGUACAAGAAUUGUGCGGCCGCAUAAGAUGCACUGCAGCCACAAACCAAAUUGUGCAGUUGCAGAAUCUAAGUCCUUGCAAGCUGAAGUAAUCUGCGGACCGCACAUGGAAUUGUGCGGCCGCAAAACCUACCGAGGGGUAUUUUUGUUAGCAAAUUUUGGGCUAUUAUAAAUAGACAAGAAUCACAUUUUUAGGUCAAGUUUCGAUGUUUGAGCUGUUGUAGCCGUUGUAUUUUGCUAUUUUAGGAAGUUUGUGACUAUUUUAGGAUUUUAACAUCUUAUUUUAUUAUUUUAAUCUUAGAUUAUGAGUUUAAUUAGUGUUUCUUCUUUGUUUUCUUCAUUUCUCACUAUGAGUAGCUUGAUUCUUACUAGGGUUGUGACCCAACCCUAGUGUGUAAACCUUAUGGGUAUUUAAUUUAAUGCUUAUUUAUGAUUGGAUGUUGAUUAUUUAGCCUAGUUUAUGCUUUAAUUUUAGAAUUAAUGGUUGCAAAUAUUGAUUCAUGCCUUUUUGACUUGGUCUUUGUUUGAGAAAAAGAGACCUAGUCUAGAAAAACUUGGCUAACAAGAAAUUAGGCUAAUUAAGAGUUUGAUUAGCCUAAUUAAAGGGUUUGAACUAGAGAUAGUGAGAACCCGACUUGAGCUCAUAUCAACUAUUUAUCUUGAUACCCAUUUGGGCUUGAGAAAGUUAAAUUGGGCAAAAUCACUCUAUGACCGAGAGGUAUUGAGUGGGUAACUUAGAGUUGAGAGAUUUAAUACAACGUGACUAAUAAAAUAAGUAUUAACGUAUUUAACCCAUUAGGAGAACACCUAGGUUAAGGUCACAUCCCUAGGUGUUUUAACUAUUUGGAAAAAUAACAAAAAGAAUCAUUCACUUUCUAGUUUCUUCUCUUAGCUUAUAAUUGUUAGAGUAAAAUUAGAAUUAGAAAUCAAAACCCUUUGUUUGGAAGUGCAAUCUAGUUUUUCUAUUUGCUUUCGUCAAGUAUAUACCCCUAACACCCAUAUUAAACUCCUUGUGGAAAUCGACCCCAACUCUUGUUGGGUACUAUUCUUCCAAUGACCGUUUUCACUCACUAUUGAGUGCGGAUUGGACGUGGAUCAAGGAGUAAUUGCAGGAUUUGCUUGAUAAGGGAUUCAUUAGGCUUAGUGUCUCACCUUGGGGUACACCGGUGUUGUUCGUGAAGAAAAAGGAUGGAACAAUGAGGAUGUGUAUUGACUAUCGGCAGUUGAAUAAAAUCACUAUCAAGAACAAGUAUCCUUUGCCGAGGAUUGAUGACUUAUUUGAUGAGCUUCAGGGUGCCAAAAUAUUUUCGAAGAUUGAUUUGAGAUCUAGCUACCAUCAGUUGAAGAUUAGGGCAUCGGAUGCCCCUAAGACAGAUUUUCGGACUCGGUAUGGUCACUAUGAGUUCCUAGUGAUGCCAUUUGGCUUGACAAAUGUCCUAGAAGCAUUUCUGGACUUGAUGAACCAGGUGUUCAAGACUUAUUUUGAUUCUUUUUUGAUCGUUUUCAUUGAUGACAUCUUGGUUUAUUCCCUCUACUGAGAGGAGCAUGAGAAGCAUCUUCGGAUGGUACUUCAGACUCUGAGAGAUAGUUAGUUAUAUAGUAAGUUUUUUAAGUGUGAGUUCUUGUUAGACUCGAUUGCCUUUUUGGUCCAUGUUCUAUCCUCCGAGGGUUUAAAGUAGAUCCUACGAAGAUUGAGGCAGUGUAGAACUAGCCUAGACCUACUUCAGCUACAGAGAUUCAGAGUUUAUUGGGUUUGGCAGGUUACUAUCGCUGGUUCGUGGAGGGGUUUUCAUCUAUCACAGUCCCAUUGACUAGAUUGAACCAAAAGGGUGCCCUUUUUAUAUGGUUCGAUGAGUUUGAGUUAAGCUUUCAGAAGAUCAAGACUGCUUUGACUAUAGCCCCAGUAUUGGUGUUGCCUACGAGUUUAGGAUCUUACAUUAUGUAUUGUGAUGCAUCGCGUAUUGGGCUUAGUGUAGAUGGUAGGGUGAUUGCUUACACGUCUCGGCAGUUGAAGGUUCAUGAGAAGAAUUACAUGUUCAUGACUUAGAGUUGGCAUCCAUUGUUCAUGCACUGCAAAUUUUGAGGCACUAUUUGUACGACGUUCAUUGUGAGGUCUAUAUCGACCAUCAGAGUCUCCAACACCCGUUCAAGCAGAAAUAUCUUAAUUUGUGGCAGCGAAGAUGGUUAGAGUUGUUAAAAGACUAUGAUAUCACUAUAUUGUAUUAUCCGGGGAAGACCAACGUGGUGGCUGAUGUAUUUAGUAAAAAGGCGGCGAGUAUGAGCAGUUUGGCAUAUUUACCUGUAGCAGAGAGGCCACUAGCCAUGGAUGUUCAGGCUUUAGCCAACCGGUUUGUGAGAUUAGAUAUUUCAAAGCCUAGCCGUGUUCAAGCUUGUGUGGUGGCACAGUCUUUGUUAUUGGAGGGUAUUAAGGCUGGCCAGCUUGAUGACCCUCACUUGUUGAUGUUGAGGGAUACCGUGUAGCGGGUUGGUGCCAAGGAUGUUGUGAUUGGUGAUGACGGUUUUAUACGGCUUCAAGGCCAAAUUUGUGUUCCAAAUGUUGAUGGAUUGAGAGAUUUGAUUUUGAGGAGGUGCACAAUUCGUGCUAUUCUAUUCACCUAGGUGUCACGAAGAUGUACCGUGACUUGAAAUAGCACUAUUGGUGGAGCAAAAUAAAGAAAGACAUCGUUGCUUAUGUAUCCUGGUGCUUGAAUUGUCAACAGGUGAAGUAUGAAUAGCAGAAGCCGGGUGGACUGACUAAGAGAUUUAAGAUACUAGCGUGGAAGUGGGAGCGCAUCAGUAUGGACUUUGUGGUAGGCUUGCUCGGACCUUGAAGUAAGUGUGAUGCGGUUAUUGUGGACUAGUUGACUAAGUCCGCGCACUUCAUUUCGGUGGCGGCCGCCUAUUCUUCAGAGAGAUUAGCUCAGAUAUACAUUCAGUAGAUUAUCUGUCUGCACGGAGUGCCCAUUUCCAUUAUUUUUGGCCGGGGCACGCAGUUUGCGUUGCAUUUUUGGAGAGUCGUGCAGCGUGAGUUGGGCACGCGGGUUGAGCUGAGAAUAAUGUUUCAUCCUCAUAUGGAUGGACAGUCUGAGCGCACCAUUCAGAUCUUGGAGGACAUGUUACGUGCUUGUAUUAUGGAUUUCGGAGGUUCAUGAGACCAGUUCUUACCUCUUGCAGAGUACGCCUACAACAACAGCUAUCAGUCGAGUAUUCAAAUGGUACCGUACGAGGCCUUAUAUGGGAGGCGAUGUCGUUCACUAAUUGUUGGGCACCGAUUUGGUCUGUGAUGCUAUAGAGAAGGUUAAGUUGAUUCAGGAUUGACUUUGUACAGCUCAGUCUAGGCAGAAGAGUUAUGCGGACCAGAAGGUUCGGGAUGUAGCUUAUAUGGUGAAAGAGAGGGUUUUGCUCAAAGUUUCACCUAUGAAGGGCGUGAUGCGGCUUGGAAAGAAGGUCAAGUUGAUCCCUAGGUGUAUUGGUCCUUUCGAGAUCCUUGAGAGAGUUCGAGAGGUUGCCUACAAGAUUGCAUUGCCUCCUAGCCUAUCUGCAGUACAUCGGGUAUUCCAUGUUUCUAUGCUUCAGAAGUAUCAUAAGGACAGCUCGCAUGUUUUGGACUUCAGCACAGUUCAGCUUAAUGAGAAUUUAGCAUACGAGGAGGAGCCAGUGGCUAUUCUAGCUCGGGAGGUUCGACAGUUUGAGGUCUAAGAGUUUUCUUUCAGUGAAAGUGCAAUGGAGAGGUCAGUCGAUCGAGGCAGCUAUGUGGGAGUAUGAGUUCGAUAUGCGGAGUAGAUACCUACACAUUUUCACUAGUCCAGGUACUUUUCUAUGUUCGUUCGAGGAUGAAUGUUUCUUUUAGAGGUAGAGAAUGUGAUGACCUAAUAGGUCAUUUUCAGUACUAGCCCUUAAUUCCUUAUUUUUGAGACCUCUAUUAGCUCUAUUUGAUGUUUCUCGAUUUGCAUGCAUAGUCCGAGUCUUUUCCCCGGAAAGUUUUAACAUAAAUUUUUAAAAAAAAUAUGACUUUUGGCUUUAUAAAAGACUUGACUUGACUACGGUCAACAUUUUAUGUAAACGACCCCGGAUCGGUAUUUUGACGAUCCCAGUGGGUACGUAUCGUGACUUUGGACUUAGGCGUAUACUUGGAAUUGAAUUCGGAGGUCCCUAAGUUAAUUUAACUUGUUUUGCCGAAAGCUAGUAACUUGAAGGUUUAGAAAUUUUCUAGGUUUGAUCGUAGGUUGACUUUAUAGCUACCGAGUUCGAAUUUUGAUUUUGGGACUUGGUACAGGUCCGUUUUUCUAUUUGAAACUUGUCUGUAAAAUUUGGUGCAAAUCGGAUUUGGUUUGAUAGGAUUCGGACGCCUGGAUGCGAUUUUAAAGGUUCUUGAGUUUUCUUUGAAAUUCCAUGCUCUUUGAUGUCUGAUUCGUAGUUGUAGGUGUUAUUUUAAUUUUUUUAUCACGUGAACGAGUUCAUAUGAUAUUUUUGCACUUAUGUGCAUGUAUGGUCUUAAGCUCGAGGGGCUCGGGUGAGUUUCGGAUAUGCUAUGGACUAUUUUGGACUUAGAAAUUUGUCGGUUUCUAGCUAUUGCUGGUGUCUGGUACUCUAUUCUUCGCGAUCGCGAAGGGCAAAUUAGGACUGGGGCUGAAUUAUUCUUCACGAACACGAAGCAAGGGGGGUUAUUAUUCGCGAACGCGACCUGCUGUCUGCGAACGCGAAGCUUUGUGGGAACCUGGGGGAGGCUGGGCAGUAACUCUAUGCGAACGCAAGCUUUCGCUCGCAAAUGCAAAGGCAAAUGGGAGCUAAGCCUUCACGAACGCGAAGGGUUUAUCUCGAUCGCGACGGCCAAAUGGCUAGUUUCUAACGCCUUAUUUGAAUUAUAUAAACUAUAUUUGGCUAGAUUUGAUUGGUUUGGAGGCUAAUUCUAAAGGAAAAGUCGCAGUUGUGCCUUGAUUUGGUUGCGGAGUGAAGUAAGUGUCAUGGUUAACCUUGACUUGAGGGAUUAGGACUUGUUGGUCUAUUUGCUAUGUGUAUUAUGUGUGGGGACAACGUAUAUGUGAGGUGACGAGUAUAUAUGUGUUGCCAUUGGGUUAAAUCAUGCAGGUGGAAAUUUUUUCUUUGUGUUGGAUUGUUUCAUUAACUAUGUUUUUUUCAUGCCUAGGUUAGAUUGUUACUUAUUUAAUUAUUCUUCUCGUAUUUAUUGUUAUUUCAAAGAUGUUGGAAAUUUUGAAAUUUGAGUUUGUUAUCAUGGCAUUAUAAUUGAAGUGAAGUUGUUUCUCGCCUUGCAUUGUUAAUUCGGAUUGUAUUAUUGCUUGGUGAGAAAGAGUAAAAAGCACGAAGGGUGUUGUUGUGCCUUAUUGCAUAUAUUAUUAUCUAUUGAGAGGUUGUGAGGAUUAAAGCACGAAGAGUGAUGUCGUGCCUUUGAUUGCUUAUCAUUAUUAUCAUAUCAUGUAAGGUUGAGAGUAAAAGUACGAAGGAUGAUGUCGUGCUAUUAUAUUUAUGAUAUUACAUGAUGAGUACGAGAGUAAAAGUACGAAGGGUGAUGUCGUGUCAUCUUUAUUAUAUUGCCUUAUUUAAUUUAUGGUUUGGUGAUUUACUUGGUUACAAUGUUGCGCAUUUCAGAAAGAUAUUAUUUAGUGACUUCAUACUUGCCGUUCUUAUGAUAUUCCCCUUUCGCAUGUCCCCUCCUCAUUAAUAUUUUAAUUGUUCCACUUAUUAUUUUGUUACUUUAUGUAUAUAUAUGUACAUGAUUUUACGUAGUUGUCUUGUCAUAAUCUCGUCGAGAUUAGGCUCAACAUUUACGGAGUACUUUGGGUCGGUUGUACUCAUGCUACACUUAUGCACUUCUUGUGUAGAUACUGGUGCUGAUCCUAGCGGCGUCUAGAGGUGUUCUGCUCGGACUCAGCUACAUUAGGAGACUUGAGGCAUAGCUUCAUGGCGUCCGCAUCCCUGAAAUCUCUUCUUUAUCUAUUCUACUAUUCUACUGUUUAUCUAGUCUCAAACAGUUGUAUUUGCUUCAGACCUUAUGUGUAGUACUCUAGUUGCUCAUGUAUUUGUGACUUCGGAUUCUGGGAGAUGUUUAGAUAUCGUCAUUAGUAUUCUAUUGUUCCAUUUCAAAAUAUUUCGGUUUAUUUCUAUUAAUGUUUUACUUUGAAUUGUUAAAAUAGGUUAAGAAAUUUAGUUAAUGUUGGUUUGCCUAUCAAGUGAAUGUUAGGUGCCAUCACGGCCCCGAAAAUGAAAUUCCGGAUCGUAACAUGUAUUCAUUCAUAGCUAUUUUACUCGGUAUUCAAUUCAUUGUGUUCGAUUCGACUGUAUUCAAACAAUACAAAAUUCAAUAAAAAUAUAGGCAAAAAUACAAAAAAGUCUCCUUCGAAAUAUAAAAAAUAUAUGCAAAACUACAAAAAGAUACAUUGUAUUUACAGUUCAAAAUAAUGAAUACACUCAAAUCCGGGCAUAUAUGAGAAAUACAAGAAAUAAAAUAUACUCAAAUCUGAGAAAAUAUACUUGGAUCUGAGAAAAUCCAGUUAUUUCUUGGAUUUCAGCUAUUUCAGAUAUUUUUGGCUUUUGUCUUCAACAUGUAGAACAAACAAAACAUUGAAACGGAAGAUGACGAGGUUAACGACUCAAGAUAUUAUCCGUUGAUCCAUUACUCGGCGAUUCUGAAGAAUAUACCAUUACAGCAUUAGGGCAGCAUGUAACUGACGCUGACGGAGUCGGCCCUUCUCCGCCGCUGUCAACAGAGAUGACGACGGCGGCCAUAAAACACUAUCUGAUGCCUAAUGGUUGAACCCAUCUCUCUUGGAAAAAUUCUCGACAAAUUUGAGAAAUGGCUUCAAAUGUCCAGAUCCGGAGAAACGAGAGAGGAGAAGGAAGAGAAAAGUUGAGGGAUCAGUUGUAUAUAUUUGUACUUUAUUAUAAAAUAUAAAAAGUGACUAUAAAUAAU